rnacentral:rRNA from 1 species
GAUGAACGCUGGCGGCGUGCCUAAUACAUGCAAGUCGAGCGAACGGACGAGAAGCUUGCUUCUCUGAUGUUAGCGGCGGACGGGUGAGUAACACGUGGAUAACCUACCUAUAAGACUGGGAUAACUUCGGGAAACCGGAGCUAAUACCGGAUAAUAUUUUGAACCGCAUGGUUCAAAAGUGAAAGACGGUCUUGCUGUCACUUAUAGAUGGAUCCGCGCUGCAUUAGCUAGUUGGUAAGGUAACGGCUUACCAAGGCAACGAUGCAUAGCCGACCUGAGAGGGUGAUCGGCCACACUGGAACUGAGACACGGUCCAGACUCCUACGGGAGGCAGCAGUAGGGAAUCUUCCGCAAUGGGCGAAAGCCUGACGGAGCAACGCCGCGUGAGUGAUGAAGGUCUUCGGAUCGUAAAACUCUGUUAUUAGGGAAGAACAUAUGUGUAAGUAACUGUGCACAUCUUGACGGUACCUAAUCAGAAAGCCACGGCUAACUACGUGCCAGCAGCCGCGGUAAUACGUAGGUGGCAAGCGUUAUCCGGAAUUAUUGGGCGUAAAGCGCGCGUAGGCGGUUUUUUAAGUCUGAUGUGAAAGCCCACGGCUCAACCGUGGAGGGUCAUUGGAAACUGGAAAACUUGAGUGCAGAAGAGGAAAGUGGAAUUCCAUGUGUAGCGGUGAAAUGCGCAGAGAUAUGGAGGAACACCAGUGGCGAAGGCGACUUUCUGGUCUGUAACUGACGCUGAUGUGCGAAAGCGUGGGGAUCAAACAGGAUUAGAUACCCUGGUAGUCCACGCCGUAAACGAUGAGUGCUAAGUGUUAGGGGGUUUCCGCCCCUUAGUGCUGCAGCUAACGCAUUAAGCACUCCGCCUGGGGAGUACGACCGCAAGGUUGAAACUCAAAGGAAUUGACGGGGACCCGCACAAGCGGUGGAGCAUGUGGUUUAAUUCGAAGCAACGCGAAGAACCUUACCAAAUCUUGACAUCCUUUGACAACUCUAGAGAUAGAGCCUUCCCCUUCGGGGGACAAAGUGACAGGUGGUGCAUGGUUGUCGUCAGCUCGUGUCGUGAGAUGUUGGGUUAAGUCCCGCAACGAGCGCAACCCUUAAGCUUAGUUGCCAUCAUUAAGUUGGGCACUCUAAGUUGACUGCCGGUGACAAACCGGAGGAAGGUGGGGAUGACGUCAAAUCAUCAUGCCCCUUAUGAUUUGGGCUACACACGUGCUACAAUGGACAAUACAAAGGGCAGCGAAACCGCGAGGUCAAGCAAAUCCCAUAAAGUUGUUCUCAGUUCGGAUUGUAGUCUGCAACUCGACUACAUGAGGCUGGAAUCGCUAGUAAUCGUAGAUCAGCAUGCUACGGUGAAUACGUUCCCGGGUCU